rnacentral:tRNA from 1 species
GGCCGCUUUAUGAAAGUCCGUGAAAUAUAGGGUACAACGACUCAUAAUCGGUUGGUCCCCAGUUCAAAUCUGGGAGGGGCCACCA